rnacentral:lncRNA from 1 species
AGUAGAGAGUGGUGGAGAGAAAGAGAGAAGGUCAGAGAGGUCAGUAAAGUCCAGACCAUGCACAGCUUCAGGUCAGGUGAAGAAUGGGAAGCUAUUGGCAGAUUUUAAGCAGGGGAAUGUCAUGAUCUAAUGUUUUCAAAAGACCACUCUAGCAGGAGUGUGGUGGAGUGAGAGUGGGUGUGGGAAGAGCAGUUAUAUGACCAUUUAAGCGAUCUUAGCAGACAUGAUGGCAGCUCUGCAAUGAAGACCAGGAGAUGAACACGGGAUACAUUUUGGAGUUGUAGCUGAUCGGGCAUACUGAUGGAUUAGAGGGGGGUAGCAGUAAGCAAGGGGUCUUUGAAGAGUUCACCCAGGAGCUUCAAAAUGAGGAACAGUGCUUGCAAUUUCCUUGAAUACUAAGAACAUCCAGCUAUUUGUAGACAGAUAAAAGAGAGCAGCCCCCAGAGGUGCUGAUCCAGCCAAGAUAGCUCAUCCAGUUCUCAACAGGACUAAAGGACUUAUCCUAUGCCUAGUUUUUCACUCCCCUCAGAGGGUCAGGUGAACUGGGGAGCAAGAGGAACUGGCGCCUUUCCCUACUUCUCUUUCAAUUCGUUUAUUGAGGUAACUGCACUGGGGAAAAGAUUAUAUCCAAAACUUUUGGAUUGCUCGACAUUAGAUGUUAACUCUGAGCUAAUACUAAUUUCCAGGGACCCAGAAUGAACUUAUCAAUGGAUAUCAGGAAUGGAGAUGACACAUGAAUAAGCACAGUAACAAGGAUUUCCCCUCACCAGGAUGACGUGGCCUUUGCCAUUGCUGAGAACCCAUUUUGCACGCAAUGUUUUCCCGGAUAAUAAAUGACACAGCUGGGAUUUAUUCAGGUGUUCUGACUCCAAAGUCCUUGCUCCUGAUCACCAUGCGCUACCGACUUUGAGCAGUGAUGUCUCACAGAUGGGAAUGAUUCCUCUGAAGAUUGAAUAGAGAAUGCCACCAUGUGAAGUGAUAUUUGAGCUGGAACCUGAGUGAAUGAUGGAAUGGAGAAGUCAGGUACAGAGCUGUGGGGAUAGCAUCACAGGUAGGUGGGAUAGGACAGGCAAACCUCCGGAGGUGGGAGCAGAAUUGGUGCAUUGGCUGUGGUACCUUUCCAUGAUUUCCUCAUUCCAGUGUUCAUAUCUUUAGAAGAUCUCAACCCAUUGAUUGUAGGUGAUAUCUGUGAUUUACUCUAGCCAAUCUAUAUAACAUGACAAAAAUGAUGGAUGUCACUCCUGUAAUUAUUUUAUGUGAUGAUCCA